GAUGAACGCUGGCGGCGUGCUUAACACAUGCAAGUCGAACGGAGAAAGGGUAGCUUGCUAUCUUUUCUUAGUGGCGGACGGGUGAGUAACGCGUGGGUAACCUGCCCUUUGCAGGGGGAUAACAGUGAGAAAUCACUGCUAAUACCGCAUACCAACUUCUUUCGCAUGAAAGAAGUUUGAAAGAUUUAUCGGCAAAGGAUGGACCCGCGUUGGAUUAGCUAGUUGGUGAGAUAACAGCCCACCAAGGCAACGAUCCAUAGCCGGCCUGAGAGGGUGAACGGCCACACUGGGACUGAGACACGGCCCAGACUCCUACGGGAGGCAGCAGUGGGGAAUAUUGCACAAUGGGCGAAAGCCUGAUGCAGCGACGCCGCGUGAAGGAUGAAGGUCUUCGGAUUGUAAACUUCUAUCAGCAGGGAAGAAAGGGCCUAUGGCCUAUGACGGUACCUGACUAAGAAGCCCCGGCUAACUACGUGCCAGCAGCCGCGGUAAAAGUCACG
rnacentral:rRNA from 1 species